UAGAGUUUGAUCCUGGCUCAGAUUGAACGCUGGCGGCAUGCCUAACACAUGCAAGUCGAACGGCAGCGCGGGCUUCGGCCUGGCGGCGAGUGGCGGACGGGUGAGGAAUACAUAGGAAUCUGCCCAGUCGUGGGGGAUAACCCGGGGAAACCCGGACUAAUACCGCAUACGACGGUGACGUGAAAGCCGGGGACCUUCGGGCCUGGCGCGAUUGGAUGAGCCUAUGUCGGAUUAGCUAGUUGGUGGGGUAAAGGCCCACCAAGGCGACGAUCCGUAGCUGGUCUGAGAGUAUGAUCAGCCACACUGGGACUGAGACACGGCCCAGACUCCUACGGGAGGCAGCAGUGGGGAAUAUUGGACAAUGGGCGCAAGCCUGAUCCAGCAAUGCCGCGUGGUGAAUAAGCCUUC
rnacentral:rRNA from 1 species